rnacentral:rRNA from 1 species
UACGUAGGUCGCAAGCGUUGUCCGGAUUUAUUGGGCGUAAAGAGCGUGUAGGCGGUCAGGUAGGUCCGUUGUGAAAACUCGAGGCUCAACCUCGAGACGCCGAUGGAAACCAUCUGACUAGAGUCCGGAAGAGGAGAGUGGAAUUCCUGGUGUAGCGGUGAAAUGCGCAGAUAUCAGGAAGAACACCCGUGGCUAAGGCGGCUCUCUAGUACGGUACUGACGCUGAGACGCGAAAGCGUGGGGAGCGAACAGG